UGUGGCUGAGAAGACGAGGCGAAAACUAUUAUACAUUGUGUAAGCAUAAUCAACACAAUCUCUAGUGAUUAACCUAAAGGUAUUGUCUUCCUUCCCCCACUCUCUCUUCCCUUUUCUUCAUUUUAGAAAAGAUUUGAAAGGCUGUUGUAUGGAUCAACGUCCGCCUCUAAGUAAAAUAUAAUAGGGUGUUUUAUGAACAAAAAGCCAGAUAUCUAAGUUGAAGUAUGCAUUCUUAUAGUACACGUGUAUGUACAAACUAGUAUGGAUAUUUGCAUACAGGUUGUUACUGUUAUAUAAAAAACACAUUGUACGUCAUGAUUUGCCGCUGUAGAAAGAGAGAAAGAGUGGGGGGGGGGUGGAAUUCUGAUUGGUGUAGACAAGGUGCGUUUGGUUCAUUCAUGCUAUACAUCGACCAAUAAAAGUUCAUGAACAAUGUAAUAGGCGGGAAAUGACCAGUGGUGCAUAAAAUCCACGCCUUGUGUUAAGCGGAACCUGUGGAUGUGGGCAAAGGAAUGAAGUGAAUACAAUAAGCUAUAUAAUCGCUUUCUUUCUUAACAAGUUCUUUAAGAUAGUUGGAAAAGUUAAAGAAUGAAAUCGUAUUCUAAGUUAGGACUCUGCCUAAUUAAAUAAAGAGAUUAAGCCGUUGUCAAACAAAGGGUAUUGCAUUUUGGAAUCAAUAAUAAAAUUGGCGGGAAAAAAUCUACAUAGAAGUAAUUUAAAUACAUGUCAAGGACGAGAUUUACAUUUAAUGGUUACUACAUGUACCUGAAUAGAACGUCACUGACAUCAAUAUACAUUCUAUAGUCAUGAUAGUGUGAGGGAGUGGUCCGCCACCCCUCUCUCUCUCUUCCUUUAUAAUUGGCUCAAAGAAUGGUUGUU